rnacentral:rRNA from 1 species
GGGCUUCACACGUCAUACAAUGGUGCGUACAGAGGGUUGCGACCGCGCGAGGGGGAGCUAAUCCCAGAAAACGCAUCGUAGUCCGGAUCGUAGUCUGCAACUCGACUACGUGAAGCUGGAAUCGCUAGUAAUCGUGGAUCAGCAUGCCACGGUGAAUA